rnacentral:lncRNA from 1 species
GUUUUUAUUUAACUACUAUCAAAAGAUAAGCACAGACUUUUCAACAUUUGUAGUAAAUACUAAUCAUUUUGGAAGAAUGAUUUUUUUUUCAGCAAUUCUGCUAGCAUUAAUGGAUUUAAAAAGUUAAGAGGUCUUCAUUUCCUGAAUAUUCAGAUAAUCAUAGAGAUCCUUUCUUUCCAAAGAUAAUUUGUAAUAAGGCUGGUGUGGUUAAAAAGUGCACUGCUUCAUUUUUUUUUAAUUAGAUGAUUAAGCUUUUGCUGCAGACACAUUGCAUCUCCUGAAGCCACCUCAGGGAUUUGUGGGUUUCACUGACUUAUGUGGGUUUAGAGCAACAAUUUUAGAAAUGCCUGCUUUUACAUAAGUUGGUAGAAUGAAUUAAAAAAAACAAGACCCCAUUAUAUGUUGUAUGCAAGAGAUGAACCUUACAGGCAAAGACCAACACAGGCUGUAAGUGCUAGGAUUGAAAUUGCUAUGCCACAUGAAUGGAGCCUGAAAACAAACAGGAAUAGAUACUUAGAUUUCUGACAAAGCAGACUUCAAAGAAAAAUUAAUCAGAAAAGACAAAGAAGGUCACUUCAUACUGGUAAAGGGAACAAUCCAACAAGAAUUUAAAAUAUUUAUACUACAAAAUUGGGUGCAACUUAAUUAUGUAAAAGAGAUACUAAUUAAAUUGAAGCUUUAGAUAGACCCCAGUUCAAUAGUAUUGAGUGAAUGAUUUCAACAUACCUUUCUCACCAUCAGAUAGGUCAUCCAAAAAUAAACUUAGCGAAGACUCUUUGGACAUGAAAGUGCUACGAUUGAAAUUGCUAUACCAUGUGAAAAAAAAUAUUGUAAAGCAAAUGAAUCUAACAGAUAUUUAUAGAAUAUUUUGUCCAACAAGAGCUGCAUAUACUUCCUUCUCCACAGCUCAUGGAACCUUCUCCAAAAUAGACCAUAUUUUAGGCCAUAAGGCAACUCUUAGCAAAUACAAAAAAAAAAAAAAAUUGAUAUAAUUUCUUGCAUUUUUUAGUCAUUUUUUUAGUUUUAGAUUGAUACAAUAUCUUUAUUUAUUUUUAUGUGGUGAAUUGAACCCAGUUCCUCAUAACAUGCUAGGUGAGCUGUCUACCACUGAGCCACAAGCCCAGCCCCAAUUUCUUGCAUCUUAUCAAAUCAUAAUGGAAUUAAAUUAAAAAUGAAUACCAAGAAACCCUAAACUGUAUGAGACAUGGAGAUUGAGCAAUACACUUUGGAGUGAUAAAUGUG